rnacentral:misc_RNA from 1 species
GAGUGGAGUGCAUCAGGGAGAUUAUCUCCUGCCUAAUGUCCAAUGAUAGCUGCCAUUUCAAGGCAAAUCAGGUGUAUUCCAUAGAUGGAAUUAUUUCAAUUUACAACUUAAAACAAAACUUUGCCUGUUGGUCGCCGAUGAAGACUCAUCUUAGAAGCAUGUUAACACAAGUCUGUCUGGUGUUGUUUUUGUUACAUAAGUCUUGCUGUGUGGACUUUAUAUAUCAUGUAGAAGAAGGUCAAAACUCAGGCACUUAUGUAGGGGACAUUGGUUCCGAUGUUCAUUUGAUAAACAAUGUUCUAAUUGAAGAAUUAGGUUUGGUCAGCUUCAGCCAGUUAGAACAAGAUGUAAACAGUAGCAAUCAAUUAUUUACAGUUUUUAAAUCAGGAAAAUUGUAUACUGGCCAAAAGUUAGAUGCUGAAUCCCUCUGUAAAUACAACACUGAAUGUUUCAGAAUGGUUGAUGUAGCUGUUCAAAAGGAAGAAUCUUUUAUCAAGUUAUUAGAAAUCAAAGUAAUUAUUGAAGAUGCUAAUGAUCAUAAACCUGUAUUCCCCAAAAAACAGAUCAAUCUUCAAUUUGACGAAGGUGAUGGAAAAGGAAUGAUAAAAUCAAUACCUAAUGCUAUUGACAAGGACGUUGGAGUUAUAAAUUCUCAGAUUACCUACCAGUUAGAAAAGCAUGAUGGUGAUCCAUUCACUUUAUCUGAAUCAAAACGAGUGGAUGGAUCCUCUUCACUUGGAAUUACUCUUGAAAAUAAAUUAGACAGAGAAAAAAAGGACACUUACAUGUUAAAAGUUAUUGCCAGAGAUGGUGGCUCCCCACCUCAAGAAGGUCAUUUAAACGUUCUUAUUACAGUUACUGAUGUCAAUGACAACCCACCUCACUUCUCUCAGAAUUUAUACAAUGUUUCUGUAAAUAAUGGCUAUCACAAAGAUAUGCGGGUUGCACAAGUGUCUGCCAGUGAUUUAGACUCAGGCAAAAAUGGCCAAGUUUCAUACUAUUUCAGUUCUAAAACAUCAGAUGCAGCUAAAUCAAAUUUUGCACUGAAUGAAAAUACAGGAGAGAUAUUUUUAGUAAAAACAUUUGGUCAACGAAAAAAACUUCUAUACAAAUUAUUUAUUGAAGCUACAGAUAAUGGUAGUCCACCCCUGAGCUCCAUUGCAACAGUUUUAGUGAAUGUUCUAAACCAACAGAAUAAUCCACCACAGAUUGAUGUUAAAUUUGUUUCCAAAUCAACAGGAAUAACAGCAAGGUUUUCAGAAGGGAUUAAAGUUGGCAGUUUUAUUGCUUUUGUUAAAGUAACAGAUAAUGAUGCCGGACAGAAUGGAGAAGUUACUUGUGACCUUAAACAUGAUAAGUUUCUGCUGCAGAGUCUUGGAAAAAUGAAAUAUAAAGUUGUUGUCAAGAAUCCAGUGGAUCGAGAAACUGAAAGUUAUAUCAAUUUUACAAUUAGUUGCCAAGACAAAGGAUUUCCAUCUUUGAAAACGGAAAGAAAUUUUUCCAUCCAAGUAAUGGACAUUAACGAUGUACAACCUCAUUUUUCAAAAGAAUUGUUUAAAUUUCUAACUUAUGAAAAUGAGAAGCCAUUCUUCCCUAUUGGUUUCAUUAAUGUGACAGAUCAAGACCUUGGGGAAGGAGGGCAACUAUCAUACUCUUUAUUAGAUAAAAACAAGCAUGUACUUCCUUUUGAAAUUUCUAAUUUUGGGUUUAUUUCAACAACACAAUCACUGGAUCGAGAACAACAAGAAAUAUACCAUUUUCAAGUUUUUGUCAAAGACAAUGGAACACCGUCAUUAAACAACACAGCCAAUGUCAUCAUUGAAGUCAUGGACAAAAAUGACAAUGCCCCAUAUUUUACAUUUCCUAGUGUUAACCCCUUCAGCUUGGAUAUUUAUUACCAUCCACAGAGUAAAAAAGAUAUUACUGUUUUGAGAGCCUCAGACAGGGACAGUCAUGUGAAUGCUUUUCUCAGAUAUGAAAUUUUAGGUGGUAACGACAAGCAAUUAUUUACCAUUAAUCCUUACACGGGUGUAUUGUCAUUCUCUCGAACAGUUUACCAAAAUGAUGCUGGAUCAUAUGAUUUGAAAUUCAUAGUCAAGGAUAGUGGUAUCCCAGUUUUAUCAACAGUGACUACUUUAUCCUUGACGCUUACAGUUAGUAAUAAGACAUCUAAAAUGUUAACUCCACCAGAUACCAAAUCAGAUGAUAAAAUCCACAUUAAUCUUGUAAUAAUUAUAUUAUUGGCAGCUGUGAUAGUAUCAGUAGCCACAGUAGUGUCGAUAACAGUGUGUAUUGUACGGAGAAACCACCAGAGAAAUACAAAUUACAGAGCAAACGUAAAUACUGCUAACAAAAGUAUGAGUGCCAGUAGACAGCCUGGAUAUGAUAGUGAACAAAUGACACUUCAGUAUGAUGUCCCCGUCCCCGUGGCAACAUCUUUUAGCAAGAAUCGGAGCUCUCUGCCCUCUGGAUUAGGAAGACAAUCUCAUCCUGAGUAUGCAUUACCAUACAAAAAAAAUUCACUUUCAGGAAUGUAUUGUUCUACCAGUCGAGGAGGAAGUUUUCAGUGAGAUGUCUACAAUAUCUUGUGCUGAUAGUGGACGUGGCUUGAGCAAGGGAAAUUCUGAAAACUAUAAAGAUCUACAUGGUAAAAUAUAUCUGAACAGAAGAAGUUUUAAGAACAUUCAUCAAUCAUCUAACAAAUAUAUAUAAAAAUGCAAAACAUAGGUUGCAAUACCUUCCAAGACCAAUAGCUGCUAAAAGUGAGCAAUAAGAUCUACUAAAUUCUGUGAAUUUUCCUUUUUCUGUCCAAAAUAAUCAUUCGACUGAUAUUGAUGAGAACUCUCACUGCAAUGGUGUGAUUGACUAUAAAUUAUUACAAGAGAACAAUGGUAAUUCUAACUCAGUAUCAAACUUUUGGAAUCUACCAAUGAAGAACAGUUCCUCAUCUCAUAAAAACUAUUUCCAGCUUUACCAAAGGUACUAUAUUCAUCAGACUUUUGUCACAUUUCAUUCAUACAUGCACAUAUACAUAUAUUUUUAUGCACAUAUAUAUUUAUGCUAAGCAUAUUAUAUACAUAUAUACACACAUAUAUA